rnacentral:rRNA from 1 species
CACGGGGGUUGCGAGCGUUGUCCGGAAUUACUAGGCGUAAAGGGCAGGCAGGCGGAUCCAUAAGUUUAUCGUUUAAGGCGUCGGCUUAACCGGCGUAGGGCGGUAGAUACUGUGGAUCUGGAAUGCGGUUGGGGAAGACAGAAUUCCUGGUGUAGCGGUGGAAUGCGCAGAGAUCAGGAGGAACACCAGUGGCGAAGGCGGCCUCCUGGACCAUUCCUGACACUCAGACGCGAAAGCUAGGGUAGCAAACGGGAUUAGAUACCCGGGUAGUCCCUGAGCGGG